UAGUCUGGUGCCAGCAGCCGCGGUAAUUCCAGCUCCAAUAGCGUAUAUUAAAGUUGUUGCAGUUAAAACGCUCGUAGUCGGAUUUCGGGGCAAGUUUGCCGGUCUGCCGAUGGGUAUGCACUGGUAGAAGUGUCCUUCCUUCCGGAGACGGCGCCUACUCUUAACUGAGCGGGUGUCGGAGACGGAUCGUUUACUUUGAAAAAAUCAGAGUGUUUCAAGCAGGCAGCUCGCUUUUGCAUGGAUUAGCAUGGGAUAAUGAAAUAGGACUUUGGUGCUAUUUUGUUGGUUUCGAACACCGAAGUAAUGAUUAACAGGGACAGUCAGGGGCACUCGUAUUCCGCCGAGAGAGGUGAAAUUCUUAGACCAGCGGAAGACGAACCACUGCGAAAGCAUUUGCCAGGGAUGUUUUCACUGAUCAAGAACGAAAGUUAGGGGAUCGAAGACGAUCAGAUACCGUCGUAGUCUUAACCAUAAACCAUGCCGACUAGGGAUUGGAGGAUGUUCCUAUGUGACUCCUUCAGCACCUUUCGGGAAACUAAAGUCUUUGGGUUCCGGGGGGAGUAUGGUCGCAAGGCUGAAACUUAAAGGAAUUGACGGAAGGGCACCACCAGGAGUGGAGCCUGCGGCUUAAUUUGACUCAACACGGGGAAACUUACCAGGUCCAGACAUUGUGAGGAUUGACAGAUUGAGAGCUCUUUCUUGAUUCGAUGGGUGGUGGUGCAUGGCCGUUCUU
rnacentral:rRNA from 1 species